GGCCAAGGCCGUCCGGGGCCUUCCGACGCCCUCACCUCCACUGGGCCCUCGGGGCUCUCUUCCUGAAACGGCGCCCACCCGGCUCCUGCCCAGGGGCGCCCGGGUACUCCUCUGGCUCCCGCUUCGCCUGGCGGACCUCUGUUUCUUCUUUUCCUCCUUGUUCGCCCACAGAUGAAUGUAUUUUAAAUCUGGUGAAGGAAAACCAAUCUUAAGUCCUGGGCACUUCAGAACAAGUAAAUACAAUCAAUGCCUGAAGCCUGACGGCGCCAAAGCGACGAUCCACCCGGGGCAGGACCAACCUUCACACUUCUCCGCGCUUAGGGGAGAGAAGAGGACGGCUGGGCCUCAACCCACAGGCUGUGGAGCUUGCGUUGAGUUUUCCUGAGUGCCUGCACCUGAAGAGUUGCCUCCCCAGACCUGCAUCAGGAACCUGUUUCUUGGCAAGUUUCCAAAAGAAGUCUCUUCUCACAACCAUCAUCAUCACUAAAAGAACAGUGUUUAG
rnacentral:lncRNA from 1 species